CAGUAGAGGUCUCUCGAUCUCUCCAGCUCUCUCUUUGAAGAACCAAAAAUCUCUUCAGUUCUCUCUCAUUUCCAGCGUCCACCGCCACCACUCAGACGUCCCCAAAGGUAGAUUUCUUUUCUCUUCCUUAGAUUCGGAAUCUUGAAAAUCCUCGUCGAUAUCGUUUGAUGUCUGCACAGCUAUCGGCCAACCAAGCUCGCCCAUUUGGGCUUCCACGCCCACCCAACAAAACCCCCAAUAACAAUCACAACAAUCCACAGAAGGGUUAUGGACACCACCAUCGUGGGUCGUCUUAGAAUCCGAGCAGAAAAACCCAGAAGUUUAAAAAACGAAAAAAAGACAAAAACCCUCGAUUGAAUCGGAUACUGAGGUUUUGCUGCACUGUUUUUGUCAUGAGCGCAAACAAGUCUUUCCAUCAGGAUGGCGUCCACUAAAGUCUUCAACUUGAACGCAAACGGGCAUAAAACAAGUAGAGAUAAUGUGUGAUUCUGAUGAAGGGAUUAACAAGUUACCAGAUGAGGUUGUUGAGAAGGCUGCUCCGAUUUCAAGACUCACCCUGUUCUCCUCUUGCAAGAUAUCUGAAUACAUCAUAAAUCUCAUUGCUUAGUCCAUAAUUCAUAAGACUCACCUGAAGGCUGCUUUUAACGAUGUUCACAGUUGCGGUUCCAUCAGCACUAGGCAGGUCAUAAAGUGAAUCCUCUGCAAAUUCUGUUGUCUCCAGGUAGGAUCUGUAUAUCCAUGUACCUUGGGAAAAACUGGCUCUAAAACCAACAGAGCAUGCCUCGAGUUCCAACCAACAUAUCCUCGCACCAGUACGUCGGCCAUUAUGCCCAUAAAGAUUACGAUGAAGUAGAAAUACAUGGGAGAAAUCUAGAAGAAGAAAUGUAAUAGAAGGACUGCACAAAAUGAAGGGAAUACAAGUACUGGAUUUGAGGUGUAGACGAGGAAUUGGGGACAGAAGAAUUAGGUACAGUGUUUCUAAGAAACGACCAAAUGCAUAUUCCUCACUCACAUAAAACCUCUGAACUUAUAUAAUUAGUGUUGAUUUACACGUGUGCUAAACAUAAUUUAUAACUUUUUCUUACGUAUUACACAUAAUCAGUUUGAGCAUGAUUGAACUGAUUGGUUUGAGUUUGAGUGGCAACUUGGAUUCAUAAAGGCUGUAAAGUUUAGGAGCCUUUUUUGCUUAAAUAAGGCAAUACUAUUCCAACUUAUUUUCAUUGUUAUCAUCUAUUGUUCAAACCACAACCAUAUUUGUUCUCUCAUUUGCACUAAGACUGUUAUUCACGUACAUUAACAACUUUCUGUAUUUUCCAAUUAUGUAACAGACAAAACAAAACCUACAUGUGAGAAGAAAGGAGAAAGCUCUACCUAAAGCAGAACCCUACCCAUGGACACAUUUUGUUACUCAUGUAAAUAUUACUCCACCCUUGGUCAAUUUUGUUCCUCAUUGUAAAUAAGAUUAUAAAUAAAUUUUCACAUUUCUAUAAAAAGUACUCCAUCCCUGGAAA